rnacentral:rRNA from 1 species
ACGCGUAGGUAACCUGCCUACUAGCGGGGGAUAACUAUUGGAAACGAUAGCUAAUACCGCAUAACAGCAUUUAACACAUGUUAGAUGCUUGAAAGGAGCAAUUGCUUCACUAGUAGAUGGACCUGCGUUGUAUUAGCUAGUUGGUGAGGUAACGGCUCACCAAGGCGACGAUACAUAGCCGACCUGAGAGGGUGAUCGGCCACACUGGGACUGAGACACGGCCCAGACUCCUACGGGAGGCAGCAGUAGGGAAUCUUCGGCAAUGGGGGCAACCCUGACCGAGCAACGCCGCGUGAGUGAAGAAG